GGGGAAUCUUGCACAAUGGGGGCAACCCUGAUGCAGCGACGCCGCGUGAGCGAUGAAGCCCUUCGGGGCGUAAAGCUCUUUCGACCGGAACGAUAAUGACGGUACCGGUAGAAGAAGCUGCGGCUAACUACGUGCCAGCAGCCGCGGCAAUACGUAGGGUGCAAGCGUUAAUCGGAAUUACUGGGCGUAAAGCGUGCGCAGGCGGUUCGGAAAGAAAGGUGUGCAAUCCCAGGGCUUAACCUUGGAACUGCACUGUUAACUACCGGGCUCGAGUACGUCAGAGGGGGGUAGAAUUCCACGUGGAGCAGUGAAAUGCGUAGAGAUGUGGAUGAAUACUGAUGGCGAAGGCAGCCCCCUGGGAUGAUGCUGACGCUCAUGCACGAAAGCGUGGGGAGCAAACA
rnacentral:rRNA from 1 species